AUGCAAGUCGAGCGGAUGAAGGGAGCUUGCUCCCUGAUUUAGCGGCGGACGGGUGAGUAAUGCCUAGGAAUCUGCCUGGUAGUGGGGGAUAACGUUCCGAAAGGAACGCUAAUACCGCAUACGUCCUACGGGAGAAAGCAGGGGACCUUCGGGCCUUGCGCUAUCAGAUGAGCCUAGGUCGGAUUAGCUAGUUGGUGAGGUAAUGGCUCACCAAGGCGACGAUCCGUAACUGGUCUGAGAGGAUGAUCAGUCACACUGGAACUGAGACACGGUCCAGACUCCUACGGGAGGCAGCAGUGGGGAAUAUUGGACAAUGGGCGAAAGCCUGAUCCAGCCAUGCCGCGUGUGUGAAGAAGGUCUUCGGAUUGUAAAGCACUUUAAGUUGGGAGGAAGGGCGUUUGGCUAAUAUCCAAGCGUUUUGACGUUACCGACAGAAUAAGCACCGGCUAACUUCGUGCCAGCAGCCGCGGUAAUACGAAGGGUGCAAGCGUUAAUCGGAAUUACUGGGCGUAAAGCGCGCGUAGGUGGUUCGUUAAGUUGGAUGUGAAAGCCCCGGGCUCAACCUGGGAACUGCAUCCAAAACUGGCGAGCUAGAGUACGGUAGAGGGUAGUGGAAUUUCCUGUGUAGCGGUGAAAUGCGUAGAUAUAGGAAGGAACACCAGUGGCGAAGGCGACUACCUGGACUGAUACUGACACUGAGGUGCGAAAGCGUGGGGAGCAAACAGGAUUUAGAUACCCUGGUAGUCCACGCCGUAAACGAUGUCAACUAGCCGUUGGGGUUCCUUGAGAACUUAGUGGCGCAGCUAACGCA
rnacentral:rRNA from 1 species